rnacentral:rRNA from 1 species
UACAGAGGUGGCAAGCGUUGUUCGGAUUCAUUGGGCGUAAAGGGUCCGUAGGCGGUCCGGAAAGUCGGAUGUGAAAUCCUACAGCUUAACUGUGGAACUGCAUUCGAAACUUCCGGACUUGAGUGCGAGAGGGGUAAAGGGAAUUCCCGGUGUAAGGGUGAAAUCUGCAGAGAUCGGGAGGAACACCAGUCGCGAAGGCGCUUUACUGGCUCGCCACUAACGCUGAGGGACGAAAGCUAGGGGAGCAAACGGG